GAACUUGGUUUUUAUUUGAAAGUUUGAUAAUCUUCCCCGAUCCAACAUGUCGUUUCUGGGGGACUGCCGCCAUUUGGCGCUAGCUGGAAGUGAGCCAUGGGGAAUACAUGAAGGACACGCCUGCUGGCUCACGUGUUCACAUGAGACCCGCUGUCUGGUCAUGAGAAAACCAUGUGGCAAAUUCCAGAGCAGAGCACCUGACCAGGACUUCUCAGAACUGCCAAGGUCACCAAAGUCUGAGCAGCCGCCACAGCCCGGAGAGCCCGGGAAGACAAGACAACUGAGUAGAAUGUGGUGUCCUGAGUGGGAUCCGGAGCCGAGCAAGGAAAUUAGGUGAACUAAGGAAAUCUGAAUAAACUGUAGACUGCAGUUAA